ensembl:lncRNA
CCCCGGCCCCCCGGGGGCCUGGGCAAUGUCUCGGAUUCCUCCCGCGCCCCCUGGUACCUCGGAUUGAGCUCCACUCCCAGGAACGCGCGCUGACCCCGCCGACCUCCGCGAUCCCCUGGCCCAGAUCUACCCCCUCAGGUCCCCAGGCUCGUCCUGCCUGCACGGCUUGGCUCGUGGGUCCCCUCUUCCUUCCCCACCCUACCCCGCACACUCACGGGCUCUCCCAGGGCAGCGCCCAGGCCCGCGUGCCCAGUGUCUCAGACUGGUUCUGGCCUGGCUGACCUCCCCGACCAGAGGAAGGGCUGGGCCGCUGGCGUUGGGGUACCGACCCCGGCCUCCCCACAACACAGUUCCUGGAAAACUUAAAAAGCGCUUUAGUGAGAUGAGAUGACAGUUCGGUGGAAACCCACAUGCCACAGGCCCGGGCUUCAGAGUGUGUUUCUGGGCGCUCUCUUCAGUUGAGGGGUCGUUUUUGUCCCUUUCUUCCGAAACUUUCCUGUCUUUGAAUGAGCCUGCUCCUGAAACAGGUUCUAACUUUGAGCAAGUUUCAUGGGGCGAAAGUUGGAAACCAUCUAGAGGCUCCUGUUGGAGGGACUAUUAAGGACAUACGGUCACUAACCACGGGGUGGCCAGCGGGUGCCCAAAUGUGACCCCCAACGUGGGGACCUGCAUCUGUAUUGGGAGCAGGUAUGGGAUCCCAAGCCUUACUUGGCUUUUCUGACUUCUGCAGUGACCUUGCUUUGCUUUCAGUAAGGAUGGAGCAGAGCUGGGGGAGGAGGCGUAAACGGCAACAGAAAAGAACCCCAGAAUUUUCAGGUGAGGGGGUCUUCCUCCUCCUGUUUAAUAAAGACUCAUAUUCACGAGGCCACCGGGUCUGGCCCUGCCCAGAUAUUUGGGGGUCAGUGCAGGUGGCAGGGAGCUGGUGGAGCCCCCCACCCACCACACCACACCAGCACUAGUUGGUUGGGCAGGCUGUGGGCUGACCACUGGACCUGGUCCUCGCUCCACUGGCUGCAGUGAGGCAGCCUGUCCUUCUCUGGGUCGCUUUAGUGAAUUGGUGGGAAGGUGGAUGACCUUGUCCAAAGCCUUUCUGUUGGUGUCAGGACUGAGAAUGCUGUCCCAACUUCCUCCGGCUGCCACAACAAAGGGACGCAAACUGUGGGGCCUAGAAAACACAACAGCCUUGUGUACUCUCACGGUUCUGGAGGCUGGAAGGCAGAAAUCAAGAUCCUCUUUAAAAAAUAAAAUCAAGCCAAAGCAGGAGUUUAAUUGCUAACGGAUUGAUGAAGUGACAUUUUCCACUAAAAGACGAAGAUCGUUCUGAGAAAUAAAGUCAGAAUUAUAUUUAGGGCUCAUGAGAAAGAAUCGAGUAAUAUCAGGAAUC